rnacentral:rRNA from 1 species
UACGAACUGUGCAAACGUUAUUCGGAAUCACUGGGCUUAAAGGGUGCGUAGGCGGCCAUUUAAGUAGGGUGUGAAAGCCCCCGGCUCAACCGGGGAAUUGCGUCCUAAACUGGAUGGCUGGAGUGGGACAGUGGUGUGUGGAACUUCCGGUGGAGCGGUGAAAUGUGUUGAUAUCGGAAGGAACGCCGGUGGCGAAAGCGACACACUGGGUCUCAACUGACGCUGAGGCACGAAAGCCAGGGGAGCGAACGGG